rnacentral:rRNA from 1 species
AUUGAACGCUGGUGGCAUGCUUAACACAUGCAAGUCGAACGGUAACAUAAAGUAGCUUGCUACUUUGAUGACGAGUGGCGGACGGGUGAGUAAUGCGUAGGAAUCUGCCUUUUAGCGGGGGACAACUUAGGGAAACUUAAGCUAAUACCGCAUAAUACCUUCGGGUUAAAGCUGGCUUCGGCUGGCGCUAAAAGAUGAGCCUACGUUGGAUUAGCUAGUUGGUAAGGUAAAAGCUUACCAAGGCGACGAUCUAUAGCUGUUCUGAGAGGAAGAUCAGCCACACUGGGACUGAGACACGGCCCAG